AGUUUUGCCCAUUCAGUGAAAUGUUAGCUGUGGGUUUGUCAUGGCUAGCUCUCAUCAUUGUGGCACUUCCAACUAGAAGGGCAAGAGUGGCCAGUGUUACCUGAAAGACACUACCCAAAGCAGUCCUUCACUACAGUGGCAGACAGUCCUGAAAAUUUUCACCUAAAGCAGCAGAGUGAACUGUAGAGUCAGGUCACCAACCAGUAUGAAGGCUAAAAGCAGGCCUCUUUGGGAAUUCCAGGUGAAAGUGUUGAACAUCUGUAUUAUUCUGGGUCUCAAAUCAUCCUGAUAUUCUUCAUUCUGUUUUUCACAUUGGACUAGGGCAAGGAAAUGAGUCUGCAGGAACAAAGAUCACCACAACUGGCUCCCCCUCAACUACGUUAGAUGGCAACUUGCCUUCAGUAUGGUGAAACACAUCAGUUAAGACUGGUGUUGUGCCUGGCAGGACUUUCUACAAGGACACCCAAUCUCUUUAAUAAACAUGAGAUGCUGUUUCCAGUUCUCUUGCCUGACACAGCAUAGGAAGAUGCUGAACAGCCACAUUGCAAUCCACUGAGACAGAAUCUCACUAUGUUGACCAGGCUGGUCUUGAACUCUUGGCUCCCAAGCGAUCCUUUUGCCUGGAUUCCCAAAGUGUCAGAUUUACUGAAGAAUAUUUUAUUGUAAUUACUUUUUAUACUUCAUAGGUCAAGAGCUCUGUUUUAAAGAUAAUAUCUAUUGAAUAUACUUUUUAAAACAAACUUUCAUGUUCUAAUCAUUGCAUGAUUUCAGUAUUAAAUGAAACACAGUAAUGAACUUUGGGCUGA